ensembl:lncRNA
GCCAGGCUGAGGACUGCUGUGCAGAGUAAUAAAGCAGUCACAGGCAGCACAGAGACCCAUGUGAGCCCUCAGGACUCCAUCCUAGGAGGACCCAUGAGGUUGAACCAUAGGAAAUUACUGAUAUUAAUCCCAUUUGAUAGUGGAUAAAUGGAUACUUCAUAAGAUUCAAGCUAGUCCAUCUGCUUAGCAGGGCCAGAUAAAGCAAACCAGGCACUAGCUUGGGGUGAAAAAGAUUCAGUAAUCAAGAAAUGAAGAGAUGCAAGGAUUGAGAUCAUGAAAACAGUUCCUGAAAAUAUCUAUCUAAAGACCUGUUCCACCCAUCUCCCUGGAGCACAAAGUGCCUCACUCUCCAUGCUGAAUUCCCUCCAGGGAGUGUUGAAGGUCAGCAGCUGCAGCAGAGCAGGCAGAUGGAAAAUGCCCUUGUUGUGGUUGUUCGGUUGCUCACAAAUGCUCUCAGUUGUGACUGACUUUUUGUGACCACCAUGGGCUGUAGCUGCCAGGCUCCUCUGUCCAUGGGAUUUUCCAGGCAAGAAUACUGAAAUGGGCUGCCAUUCCUUCCUCCAGGGGAUCUUUCUGAACCAGGGAUGGAAC